AGUGAACGCUGGCGGUAGGCCUAACACAUGCAAGUCGAACGGCAGCACAGUAAGAGCUUGCUCUUACGGGUGGCGAGUGGCGGACGGGUGAGGAAUACAUCGGAACCUACUUUUUCGUGGGGGAUAACGUAGGGAAACUUACGCUAAUACCGCAUACGACCUACGGGUGAAAGCAUGGGAUCUUCGGACCUUGCUCGAUUGAAUGAGCCGAUGUCGGAUUAGCUAGUUGGCGGGGUAAAGGCCCACCAAGGCGACGAUCCGUAGCUGGUCUGAGAGGAUGAUCAGCCACACUGGAACUGAGACACGGUCCAGACUCCUACGGGAGGCAGCAGUGGGGAAUAUUGGACAAUGGGCGCAAGCCUGAUCCAGCCAUACCGCGUGGGUGAAGAAGGCCUUCGGGUUGUAAAGCCCUUUUGUUGGGAAAGAAAAGCAGCAGGUUAAUACCCCGCUGUUCUGACGGUACCCAAAGAAUAAGCACUGGCUAACUUCGUG
rnacentral:rRNA from 1 species